UACGUAGGCAGCGAGCGUUGUUCGGAAUUACUGGGCGUAAAGAGUGUGUAGGCGGUGCUCUAAGUUCGGUGUGAAAUCUCCCGGCUUAACUGGGAGGGUGCGCCGGAAACUGGAGUGCUCGAGCGUGGGAGAGGAAAGCGGAAUUCCUGGUGUAGCGGUGAAAUGCGUAGAUAUCAGGAGGAACACCUGCGGUGUAGACGGCUUUCUGGACCAUUGCUGACGCUGAGGCGCGAAAGCUAGGGGAGCAAACAGG
rnacentral:rRNA from 1 species